UUAUGUAUCACUUUUAUUUUUAUGUUCAAAAGAUCAUACAAAACCUGGUAUCCAACCUAUAGAGACUUUAACACUUUGCACUGUGCCACAAUAUAAAUAAUAAACUUUCAACAGCUAAUUCUAUAAAAAUAAAUAGUCCUAAGACACAUUUAAGAUAUCCAAAUCUUGGUAGCUGUUAACAAUUUUGAAAUAUUCUUGUACAAUGAAUUUGAGUGUUAAGAUCCCUUGUUGUUUCAUACCAUUAAAUAUCAAUCAACAUAAAAAAAUAUAUAUAAAUACAGUAAACAAACAUGUAUUAUUUGUAGUACAAAAAAAUGUAGAAAAAACUCAAUGUUCCCUAAUUAAUCUGAGAAAAAGCAUUUUUUUUUGACAACUUUUUCAUCUUUGAAUGAUAGACUUUGGUGUUUGAUUAAAAAAUAUUUUAGAUUGAAUAUGUGUAUGUUCCAACUCAAUUAUGAAAAAAAGUUUUGUGCAUAUUUUAAAUUUAGCCAUAUUUUAAAUCCCUUGAAACAGAUUUUGUUUCAUUUUUCUUUCUUAAAGACAAUAAAUAUUUCAAUGAAAAUCUUUAGUCUAAUUGCAGAAUUAUUUUCAUUUUUUCCCUACAAGAUCUUAAUCCACCAUUGCUUUCUACCAAUUAAAAGAGAAAAUUACAGGUGCAUGUAUAUUUCAAACUUUUGUGCAAUAACCAGUCCCUAGGAGUGCAUGGACGAGAGUAUAAAUAUCACAGGAUUAUGGAAAGCACUCUGUAUAGCACGAAUCAGAGUACUACUGAUGGGGUAACGAAAUAAAAAACCUUCAAUGACAGUGAAAUCUUCUACUACUGAACAUGUACAUGUAUUUAAGGACUACUGAAAUAUAACAAGAUGGAUGAUCUGAAUGUACAAUUCAUCAUUUGAAGGCAUAGAAGAACAGCAAACUUUAUAUGCUCUGAAUUAAACACAUUUUGUUUAAAUUCUGUUUCAAAACAUGAAAUUGUUCAGGGCCACUUAAUUACAUGCAGUAGUACAAAUUCUCUGAUCAUAUUUUUUAAAGCACAUUUUUGAAAUUACCACUUCCAUUGAUUUCUCAAAUAAUCAAUAGUUCCGAUUUUGUGAUUGAAAAGGUUUAAAAAUAAUUAUAUCAAAAUUUAGGAUGCCAAAUGUCACAAGUUUACACAGAAUGACUUUAAAAAAACAUAUAAAAAAUAAUGUAUAAUUGUCAUGACUUAUUAGAAUGGUGAAAACAAUCGUCAAUGCUGUGUGAGAUAUCACCCAAAUGUUAAAAGCUCAAAGAUCAUUAUAUCAACAACUGAUGUGUCUAUGAGACCUGGGAAUGGACUCUAGUGCUCUGUCCUCCUUUGUCCUUUAGAGUAUGGGAUUCUCGUUUUAAUACAUUCAGUAAAGUCUGUGAACUCUCCAAAAUCUGUAAUACAAAAGUUAGUAUUUUGGUUAAUAUAUGAACAACAGUCAUGUGUAUGAACAAGUGAUUUCAGUAUCACCUAUUUUAAUGAUUUAAAAUUCCAAUUAUCAGCUUUUUUUUAUAAAUAUUUCUGUAAUUUUCCUUCA
rnacentral:lncRNA from 1 species